CCCUAUUGCUAUCGGGGUGAGACUAAGCCAUGCGAGUUGUGCGCUCCCUAGCUAUGUUGGGAGAGCAGCAUACGGCUCCGUAACACGUAGAUAAUCUGCCCUUAGGACGGAGAUAACCCUGGGAAACUGGGGCUAAUACCCGACAGAUGGAGGUGCCUGGAAUGGUCUUCCGUUUAAAAGUUCUUGGGAACAUGCUUCCAAGGAUGCCUAAGGAUGAAACUGCGACCGAUCAGGCUGUUGGUGGGGUAACGGCCCACCAAACCUAUAACCGGUACGGGCCCUGAGAGGGGGAGCCCGGAGAUGGGAACUGAGACAAGGUCCCAGGCCCUAAGGGGCGCAGCAGGCGCGAAACCUCCGCAAUGCGCGAAAGCGUGACGGGGUUACCCCGAGUGCCGUCCGUUGAGGAUGGCUUUACUCACUGUAACAAGCUGAGGGAAUAAAGGGGGGGCAAGACUGGUGUCAGCCGCCGCGGUAAUACCAGCCCCCUGAGUGAUAGGGACGAUAUUUAGCCUAAAGCGUCCGUAGCCGGCUUGGUAAGUCUUUCGUUAAAUCUAGCGACUUAAUCGUUAGGGUGCGGAAAAUACUGCUAGGCUUGAGGGCGGGAGAGGUUGACGGUAGUCCAGGAGUAGGGGUGAAAUCCAAUAAUCCCUGGAGGACCACCAGUGGCGAAGGCGGUCAACUAGAACGCGCCUGACGGUGAUGGACGAAAGCUGGGGGAGCGAACCGGAUUAGACACCCGGGUAGUCCCAGCUGUAAACGAUGCGGGCUAGGUAUUGGGACAGCCACGUGCUGUUCCAGUGCCGCAGAGAAGUCGUUAAGCCCGCCGCUUGGGAAGUACGGCCGCAAGGCUGAAACUUAAAGGAAUUGGCGGGGGAGCACCACAAGGGGUGAAGCCUGCGGUUCA
rnacentral:rRNA from 1 species